UCGGGAAUUUUGGGCAAUGGGCGAAAGCCUGACCCAGCAACGCCGCGUGAAGGAUGAAGUAUUUCGGUAUGUAAACUUCGGAAGAAUAGGAAGAAUAAAUGACGGUACUAUUUAUAAGGUCCGGCUAACUACGUGCCAGCAGCCGCGGUAAUACGUAGGGACCAAGCGUUGUUCGGAUUUACUGGGCGUAAGGGCGCGUAGGCGGCAAUUCAAGUCAUCUGUGAAAUCUCCGGGCUUAACUCGGAACGGUCAGAUGAUACUGCUUUGCUAGAGUGCAGAAGGGGCAAUCGGAAUUCUUGGUGUAGCGGUGAAAUGCGUAGAUAUCAAGAGGAACACCUGAGGUGAAGACGGGUUGCUGGGCUGACACUGACGCU
rnacentral:rRNA from 1 species